rnacentral:rRNA from 1 species
AAUCGGGGCAGGGUGAGUCGACCCCUAAGGCGAGGCCGAAAGGCGUAGUCGAUGGGAAACAGGUUAAUAUUCCUGUACUUGGUGUUACUGCGAAGGGGGGACGGAGAAGGCUAUGUUGGCCGGGCGACGGUUGUCCCGGUUUAAGCGUGUAGGCUGGUUUUCCAGGCAAAUCCGGAAAAUCAAGGCUGAGGCGUGAUGACGAGGCACUACGGUGCUGAAGCAACAAAUGCCCUGCUUCCAGGAAAAGCCUCUAAGCAUCAGGUAACAUCAAAUCGUACCCCAAACCGACACAGGUGGUCAGGUAGAGAAUACCAAGGCGCUUGAGAGAACUCGGGUGAAGGAACUAGGCAAAAUGGUGCCGUAACUUCGGGAGAAGGCACGCUGAUAUGUAGGUGAAGUCCCUCGCGGAUGGAGCUGAAAUCAGUCGAAGAUACCAGCUGGCUGCAACUGUUUAUUAAAAACACAGCACUGUGCAAACACGAAAGUGGACGUAUACGGUGUGACGCCUGCCCGGUGCCGGAAGGUUAAUUGAUGGGGUCAGCGCAAGCGAAGCUCUUGAUCGAAGCCCCGGUAAACGGCGGCCGUAACUAUAACGGUCCUAAGGUAGCGAAAUUCCUUGUCGGGUAAGUUCCGACCUGCACGAAUGGCGUAAUGAUGGCCAGGCUGUCUCCACCCGAGACUCAGUGAAAUUGAACUCGCUGUGAAGAUGCAGUGUACCCGCGGCAAGACGGAAAGACCCCGUGAACCUUUACUAUAGCUUGACACUGAACAUUGAGCCUUGAUGUGUAGGAUAGGUGGGAGGCUUUGAAGUGUGGACGCCAGUCUGCAUGGAGCCGGCCUUGAAAUACCACCCUUUAAUGUUUGAUGUUCUAACGUUGACCCGUGAUCCGGGUUGCGGACAGUGUCUGGUGGGUAGUUUGACUGGGGCGGUCUCCUCCUAAAGAGUAACGGAGGAGCACGAAGGUUGGCUAAUCCUGGUCGGACAUCAGGAGGUUAGUGCAAUGGCAUAAGCCAGCUUGACUGCGAGCGUGACGGCGCGAGCAGGUGCGAAAGCAGGUCAUAGUGAUCCGGUGGUUCUGAAUGGAAGGGCCAUCGCUCAACGGAUAAAAGGUACUCCGGGGAUAACAGGCUGAUACCGCCCAAGAGUUCAUAUCGACGGCGGUGUUUGGCACCUCGAUGUCGGCUCAUCACAUCCUGGGGCUGAAGUAGGUCCCAAGGGUAUGGCUGUUCGCCAUUUAAAGUGGUACGCGAGCUGGGUUUAGAACGUCGUGAGACAGUUCGGUCCCUAUCUGCCGUGGGCGCUGG